CAGAGCACCUCCUCAGAGGCCCGGCCACCCCACUGGGCCUCCCACCCUUUCCCUUGGGCCUCUUCUCCUACCUGCCUGAUUUCUCCCCUGUCUCCGGAGGAGCAAAGGGAGGGACUGCCCUUGGGUCCCCCUCACCUCACAGGAGGCCGCUCUCCCAGGCCUAGCCCUCUCCUCUGAGGCCUCAGACCCUGCCCACAGCCAGAGCUAGAGGGCCAGAGAUCCCUGAGUCUCCUAAGUUCCGUGAGGACAGGGACUGUGCAAUGCCGUUGACGCUGCAGUUUGCUGAAUAACGCAAGUCAAGCCUUUGUGCUCCGGAACCCAGCCUCGCUCCUUAGCCCUUGCAGGAGUGGGAGCCAGGCCUUCCUGAGAUGCAAUGGAAGGACAGUGGUUCCAGCAGGCCCAGGUGACACCCACUCCCGCUGCAGCCCACCAGGCCCUGCUCUGCACGCACCUGCAUGACCUCCAGCUUCUUCUUGGUGGUUUCGAUGAACUGGGCAAUGGCCACGUAGAUGAACUUGUACUGCGCCUCUGUCUGCACCAUGCCCGAGCGCUGCGCCCGCACCAUCUGGAUGGUCUUCUGGAUGUCAAUGUCACAGUCCAGCCCUGGGCAAGGGUGGCAGUCAGACCUCAGGCCCAGGCAGGGGCAGAUACCGAGGGGCUGCUCACUGCCCGCCCCCAAGGCCCCCCAGGUAACCCUCACCUUUGGUGGAUAUAUUCUCCAUGAGCAUGUCGAUGACAAUGAUAGUGCCUGUGCGGCCAAUGCCCGCGCUGGGGAGAGAAGGGGGCACUGUCAGAGGCUCAGUCAACCCCUCACCGGGAAGGGCUCCAGCCCUGAGGGCCUGAGCCCCCGGCCACAGGAGGGAGCACCUAGAGUCACUGGGCCAGCAAGGGCAGGAGUCCGCCCAGCUCUGCACCGGUGCCCACGGCAGCCAGCGGAGGGAUCCGCGGGAAGGGCCUAGCUCUGAAGUGCUGACCUCGGCCCUACAGCCGCCUCCAGGUUUCCCUUCCUCCCAGCCCAGAGCUACCCUCCUCCACUUCCUGACUCCUCCCUCCUGGCAGGGGGCUGCCCCCUAUCCCAGAAGAUCUGGGACCCCCCCAAAUGCCACAGCUGUCCAGCCGGCUCCAGUUGGUUCCGCAGGCACUGUGCACCCUCCCCGUCCCUCCCUGCAAGAGUUGCAUUUGGAGCUUCUUUCUGUGGGGCCUCAUUUCCCUUUUUCUCCAAAGCCUGGCCGGGAAAGGGCAGCGCUGAGGCAACGGGAAGCAGGGGCUUGGAGGAGUAGCGUGGUGGGAAGUCUCUCUUCUUCUCUACCUUCUGCCACCACCCUGUGCCAGACAGACCCUACAGAGACUCCAGUCCCACCCUCGACUGGGCCAGUCAGGCCGAUGCCCUGAGUCGCGCUAAUUUCAAACCCAGAUUGUCAAAAAUAACCCCCCCAUCACCCACUUCCUUCCUGUAACUUCUAAAUAAAGGCCAUGGGGCUU